AGUCACUUCCAUAAUCCCGUCAUGCAUUGCGACAUGUGACCUUAACCUACCUGAGCUUGAGGGACUGGAGGGCGGAUCUUACCCCGCUGUCGCUGCAUUAGGCGUGGAAUUUUCUUUUAUACUGAGGCUUCACCAGCAGUUAGUACUUGUGCGUGGAAGCAGAGUGGUGUUUAACAAAUUGUUUACCACAAUGCACAUUCAUAGGAUACAGCAUGUAGCAACAGACUAAUGUGCUAUAUAACAGUAAUUAACUACAUCGAGAAAAAACAUACUGAUUAUAUUGUGGUCAACAUCUG